GGGUUUUAUGUGGGCCUCAAACAGCAGAACCCUGUCUUCUGCAUCACAUCCACAGCAUCACUGCUGCCAUGACGACCCACAUGUGAUCCCUCAGGUGAGCUACGCCUCCACAGCUCCGGAACUGAGCGAUAACACCCGCGACGACUUCUUCUCCCGGGUGGUGUCCCCGGCCCAGGCCACGGUGGAGAUGGUCAAAGCCAUGCGCUGGAACUACGUCUCCACGGUAACUACGGAGAGACUGGCAUUGAUGCCUUUAUUCCGAAGUCCAGAGAGGACAGUGAGUGUUUCCUCAAACAUUCCUUCAAGCCUCCUGGGUGUAGAUUACGUAACAAUGUAGUAAAAUAUUCAUGACACACCAUGGGGACGGAAUCCUGCCUGCUCUGAAGUGCUGAGCAAACACUUCGCCCUCAGGCACUCAAAGACUGAGGAGGAUGAGGAAAAGCCCAAAAGUAAGGAGCUAAAAAAACAACUGCAAGCAUGAACCCAGUGACAGUCAGGAAACCAAUGAUUUCCUUCAUGAGGACGGCCAGCAGCGUGAGCAGCAGUCCUUCUAUAAUUAUAUCGCUGGUAUAUUACGUGUAUUGUAUGUUUACGUGCUCUUCUGUUCCAAUAAAAUCAUGAGAAUUUAAUGAAGCAACUAACAAAUACAGACGGCAAAAUAAGAAACAAAGGACUGUGACACCUCGUUACAAUUUAUUAGGGUGUUCAUCAUCAUCGUGGAUUUUGUAGAUAACAAUCCAGUGGUUGUGGUAAAUGCAUUAUGCAUCAUCAUCAUCAUCAUCAUCUUGGGUUUAGUUUCAACCCAGCGAAAACGUUGUCAGGAGAAGAACCCGACUUUUGAAGUGGUGAGCAGUGAGACUCUCUCGGCCCCUCAGGGGAGUCCUACUUAUGGUUUUAUGUGAGUUUAAUGAUGGAGAAAAGAACCGGAACCGGCAGAGCCGUGCCGGAGUAUAACACUAGCUUCACUUUAAUACCAAUAUCCCGAGGGGUAACGGCAAGCACAGAGGAUUGAAUGAAUUGUAAUUGCGGCAGAGUAUUUUAAAAUUCCAAUCGUAUUUAUUAAAAUUGGCUAAGAUUAUGGAGAGAAAUACUUUGAAGAUGAAAAGCCACCCAUCGUUUUAUUUUGUACAUACCCCUUUCUCCCUCAAUUGAUCUUCCUCUGCACCCAUUUGUGAUUACCUGCCUUUCCCACAAUGCAUCUGGACAAUUGCCAGAGAAUCGGCAUUAGUUCCACCAGAGCCGAGAGAAAAUUAAAACUCGGCCAACUUAAUGGCCGACGCGCUCUAACGUCACUCUUGUUUCGUGGUAAAAGUAAUAUGUUGGGUUCAUGUGUUUGCAAGAGUGAUGUAUAGCCUUGAUACCAGCAACAACAAAAGGUUCAUUCUUCCCCAUCACCUGAACUAAAUACAAUUAUUAAAUGAAAUAUUGAAAUCAAGUAAAUUAUUAUUUUACAAUCAGCUACAUUGAGCACAGUGGGACCAUUUCAUCAACUUGUUUUAUUAAAUCCUGAUGAGAAAAUUACACAAACAAGGACAUAACCUAAAACAAGAGGUGAUGCAUCUGCUGCACUCCAAUAUAUUGAAAAACAAGUACCAGGUCGACUUCAUGCAUAUUCACUAUCAUCUUGUGACUCGUGCAGUAUUAACAUUAAUACAAACAUUAAACCCUGUAUUAUUCUUUUCAACUGGGUACACUUCCGGGCCCCAUACAAAUCACAUUUACACGGCUUCUUGUUUACAUAUAAGUGUGAUUAAUGCACAUUUUUUUGCCGACGAAAUGCAAGAUAAGUCGAUUAAAAGCUUUUAGAGCUUCCCAGUUCCCCACAAUGUUUAACUGUCAGGAUCUGGAGUUUUUGUGUCUUGUGUCCUGUUUUAUUUUGAAGUCCCUGUCUCUCGUGUCCUCUGUUUUCCUGCACUUCCUGUCCCUGUGAUUGUCUCCGCUGCCCCUGAUUGUUUCCACCUGUGUUCAAUCACCUGCACCUUCCCUGUGUAUUUAAACCCUGUUGUCUCAUCCCCAGUGUUGGUUUUAGAACCAUGUGGAUGGAGUGGUUUGACCUGUUAUUGUGUAUGAGUCUCUUCAUUUGGAAGAUUAAAGUUUCUGUGGAACGUC